rnacentral:tRNA from 1 species
GGUGGUGUAGUUCAGUGGUAGAGCACUUGUCUGCUAUGCAUAAGGCCUUGAGUUCAAUUUCCAGCAUCACAA